GAGAGACCGAGAGAAAAGAGAGACAAAAAAAUAGAGAGGCAGAGAACGGAGAAGGAGAGAGAGAUCGAGAGAUCAAAAACUACAGUUUGCAAUCAAGAACAAAAGAUGUCUCUCCCUUCCUAUCAGAUUUUCUGCCAUCACCGUAAACCUCCACUUGCUACCCGACCAUCAAAAUCUCUACUGAAUGGUAUUUUGGGUCAGAUUUGGUUUUGAUUAAGGGAUACGAAGAUAGAGGAACCAAGUAGAGUUCGUAGCGAUACUGCGAUACAGAGAAAGGGAAGGAGAAAAAAAAAAGAUUGCGGCACAGUGAGGAUUUGCUAAUUCUUUCCCUGGAAUAAGAAGAAGUAAGGAAGAUGAAGCGACAAGAAUGAAGAGGAGUCAUACCCCGCCCAUUACGACAUGCUUUUGAUGGUAAGUUGCGGAGACAAGUAGAGAAUCUGUCAUGUAGCCAGAACCACUACAGAGAGCAAAGAGUAGGGAGGCAAUGAGACAUGAGAGAAUCAGAAGUGUUACCAACAAAGGAUGCAAUUUCAACAUGAUUGAUUGAACACCACAAUGGACAUUAAUGUUACACAAAUUAUACCAAGGAGACCACAUGAAGUACAGGAUGGAGAACUUUCCUUGCAUAAUGGAAAAUCAGUAUCUUAAAUAAAGGACUUGGAGUGGAACUUAGAGACAAAGGUAUCAAAGGAUACAUGUCCAAGUAGAAAGUAAAACCGAUUCAACAACAUUCAUUUCGUUUGACAAAGCGACUGAGAAAUUUGUAUCUAAGAUUGUAAAAGAACUUGCAGAGAUAUAAGCAGAGCUUAUAAACCUGCUGAAGAUGGAAAAUGAGAAGAUGAUAGCAUGCUUAUUCAAAUGCUUCGCAAACGAAACAAUGCUACUAAAAAAAAUGCAUCAAAGAAGAAGAAAAAUUGAAGGAGGAAAAAUAGCAACUACAGAAUUCAAUUUAAUUUUCAGUUUUUGUUUUUCCUCCUACCUGGUGGGUGAAUUUUUAAUAAUAAAACAAUGAAUGUGAUUGCUAUUAAGUUGACAGGUUUUUAGUGGUAUCAUCUUAAUAUCUUUUGGUUAAUUUUUUGUUUAUAGUUUGUGAAAUUUCUAUUGCUAUGACAGCCUUGCAGCUAUUCUUUGAUGAUAACUUCAUAUUAUCCAACCAACUGAUGUGAAUGCUCUUAGGGUGUUUAUGUGUUGAUCAUCCUUAUGUUUGGUUUAUUUGUUUUACCAUUAAGCUGCAAUUAAAUAAUGUGCCACGAAAAAGACAUAUUUUAAACUAGGAAAAAGCAAAGCCACCAUCAAUUAUUGUUCUUAUUAUCACAAAUUUUUUGUCACUAAUGAAUAAUUAUUGGAGGAUUUACAGACAGUUCAGUCAACCUCAACUAAUAUACAUAGAUGGUUACAAAUUAAAGAAUGAUCAUAUAUACUUCCUUUUCUAAAUUUUUUGUUUCCUUACAUCUUUCCUUUUCCCCCUUUUAUGUACCAACUUUAAGUCCAUACUUUCGGGUGAAAGAAGUUCCGAGGCAAUGCAAGAUGGACUCAAGGGACUCCUUGGGCUGACACUUAAUUGAGAUGGCUCAUAUCCCAUGAGGAAGUACUCCAAUGGUAUUAACUUAGCAUGGGGCUGCUCCUCUGUCACCAUUGACCCACGUGCCUGAACCU